CUUAAGUUUGAUUGUAUCAAGUUCCACCCCAGAAUAUCCAGGAUUCUUUGUUCUUUCUUCCCACAACAGAGUUUCUCUGUGUAAGCUUAGCAAUCCUGGAACUCCCUCAGUAGACCAGGCUGGAUUCAAACUCAACGAGAUCCUCCUACCUCUGCUUCCCAAGUGCUGGGAUUAAAGGGUGUCGAGCUCAUGUACCUGCAGGGACUGGAUCUUCCCCUUGGGAUCUCAUACCAGGAGGAAGACUGAGGCUCCCAUGGUGGGCAGAGGGGAGCCUCUCUCCAUACAGCUCUGACGUGUCAUGAUGGGCAGGACCACAUUCUGACCUCUCACUGUUCACUUAAACCUGAACCUCAUCUUAGGACUUCCAACGACGGACUUAGCAACCGUGGAGGGCCUAACUCAGUCUCCCUGUUCUCUUCCUAGUGGAGUCACAUUGGAAUUUGGGCAGAGUCUCCAUCUACUUGAUCUUCUCUAUGACUUCAUUCCUGGCCCAGGCACGUGAACCCUGGCCUUGCGGCUAAUGCAGGACACCAGCCAUCCUCUGUGAAGUCCAGUCACUCCCCUAGCCCCACCCCUGCCAUAAGGACAGUACUGGUGAGGAGUCUGGGCACCCAGGUUAUCAGCCAGAGCUCAGCCUGCAGCUGGGAGUUGAUAGUGAGGUCAAGCACUUGGGAUGUUACCUGCCACAUUUGCCAUGUGAGGGCAGAGGAGGGAACUUACCUGAUGGCUACCUCUGUGCUGAGGUAAUUGUAACUUGGAG
ensembl:lncRNA